rnacentral:rRNA from 1 species
UACGGAGGAGGCAAGCGUUAUCCGGAAUUAUUGGGCGUAAAGCGUCCGCAGGUGGAUAUACAAGUCUGCUGUCAAAGUGCAGAGCUUAACUCUGUAAAGGCGGUGGAAACUGUAGGUCUUGAGUAUGGUAGGGGUAGAGGGAAUUCCCGGUGUAGCGGUGAAAUGCGUAGAUAUCGGGAAGAACACCAGUGGCGAAAGCGCUCUACUGGGCCAUAACUGACACUGAGGGACGAAAGCUAGGGGAGCGAAAGGG